rnacentral:rRNA from 1 species
UAGGCUUGACAUGUUGGUCGCGAGAACCAGAGAUGGAUCUCUUCAGUUCGGCUGGACCAAACAU